rnacentral:rRNA from 1 species
GAUGAACGCUAGCUACAGGCUUAACACAUGCAAGUCGAGGGGCAGCAUGUUGGUUGCUUGCAACCAAUGAUGGCGACCGGCGCACGGGUGAGUAACGCGUAUCCAACCUUCCCCUUAGUAGAGGAUAGCCCGGCGAAAGUCGGAUUAACACUCUAUGUUGUAUUUUGAUGGCAUCUGACGAAUACCAAAGAUUUAUCGCUAAGGGAUGGGGAUGCGUCUGAUUAGGUUGCAGGCGGGGUAACGGCCCACCUGGCCUACGAUCAGUAGGGGUUCUGAGAGGAAGGUCCCCCACACUGGUACUGAGACACGGACCAGACUCCUACGGGAGGCAGCAGUGAGGAAUAUUGGUCAAUGGGCGCGAGCCUGAACCAGCCAAGUAGCGUGCAGGACGACUGCCCUAUGGGUUGUAAACUGCUUUUAUCAGGGAAUAAAGUGAGGCACGCGUGCCUUUUUGUAUGUACCUGAUGAAUAAGGACCGGCUAAUUCCGUGCCAGCCGCCGCCGUAACAC